rnacentral:tRNA from 1 species
GUUUAAAUAGCUUAUAAUUAGAGCAUAGCAUUGAAGAUGCUAGGGAGGUAGUUUACCUUUGAACA